rnacentral:rRNA from 1 species
UGCAAGUCGAGCGAGAACCGGGACUUCGGUCCCGGGGGCAGCGGCGAACGGGUGCGUAACACGUGAGCAACCUGCCCCGAAGACCGGGACAACCCGAGGAAACUCGGGCUAAUACCGGAUGCCCUCACCGGAUCGCAUGGUCCGGCGAGGAAAUGGAUUCCGCUUCGGGAUGGGCUCGCGGUCUAUCAGCUUGUUGGUGGGGUAACGGCUCACCAAGGCGACGACGGAUAGCUGGUCUGAGAGGACGAUCAGCCACACUGGGACUGAGACACGGCCCAGACUCCUACGGGAGGCAGCAGUGGGGAAUCUUGCGCAAUGGGGGAAACCCUGACGCAGCGACGCCGCGUGCGGGAUGAAGGCCUUCGGGUUGUAAACCGCUUUCAGCAGGGACGAAAUUGACGGUACCUGCAGAAGAAGGCCCGGCCAACUACGUGCCAGCAGCCGCGGUAAUACGUAGGGGCCUAGCGUUGUCCGGAUUUAUUGGGCGUAAAGAGCUCGUAGGCGGUUCGGUAAGUCAGGUGUGAAAUCUCCACGCUCAACGUGGAGGCGCCACCUGAAACUGCCGUGACUCGAGUCCGGUAGGGGAGUGUGGAAUUCCCGGUGUAGCGGGUGAAAUGCGCAGAUAUCGGGAGGAACACCAGUAGCGAAGGCGGCACUCUGGGGCCGGUACUGACGCUG